UACAAAGACUUUCUGCAGCUGGGCUUUCCGAGGAUUCAAAUGUCAGGAAAAAUGUACAGCGCUCUCUUGCUACAGAUCUUCAAAGCCUAUCAAUGGAGCUUCGCAGAAAACAGUCUACUUAUUUGAAGAGGCUUCAGCAGCAGAAAGAGGGUCCAGAUGGAGUUGACUUGGAGAUGAACUUAAAUGGGAGCCAUUCUAGAAGGGAUGACGAUGAUUUGGAUGACUUGGGAUUUAAUGAGCAUCAGAUGGCCAAGCUAAAGAAAAGUGAGGCAUUCACUGUUGAAAGAGAGAGAGAAAUACAGCAGGUGGUUGAAUCAGUGAACGACCUUGCCCAAAUUAUGAAAGAUCUAUCAGUUCUGGUGAUAGACCAGGGUACUAUCGUCGAUAGGAUAGACCACAAUAUUCAAAAUGUUGCAUCAACAGUUGAGGACGGCCUUAAACAACUAAAGAAGGCUGAACGAAGUCAGAAGCGAGGUGGAAUGGUCAUGUGUGCAACAGUUCUAGUUAUCAUGUGCUUUAUAAUGCUAGUCCUAUUAAUUUUGAAGGAGAUAAUAUUCUGAUUUCUGAAAGUAUUAUCUAUAAACUUUGCAUAGUAUUGUUUCUCACAACGCUACAUGGUGAAGCAAGCCAACACAUGUGCGAGAAGUGGAGGAAUCCAAUGAGCUAGCUCCAUAUCAUUUUUCUGCUACUACAUUUUAUUGUAUCUGUAUUGUUAGUGAGGACUGCGGAGGGUUUGUAUUAUAGUCAGAGGAAGUUGAUAGAUCUCCAGGGAUCCUGUAUAGAGCAUCGACUGUUAUACACCGAUGCUAUUGGUAGAGAUCAUAAUACAUAUUCUUUAUCCCUGGAGAAUUUUGUAGUUUCGCUGACUUCACAUUAUAUGCAUGAGGAGGAUACAACGUAUUCUGUAUUUGUGGCCCUUCAUUUUUAAUUGAG
rnacentral:misc_RNA from 1 species